GUUGUACUCCCUCCGUCCCAAAAUAAGUGACGUCGAUUUGUAUAGAUUUACGUCACUUCCACGUCACUUAUUUUGGGACGGAGGGAGUAGAUU
rfam:Brachypodium distachyon strain Bd21 chromosome 5, whole genome shotgun sequence.